rnacentral:rRNA from 1 species
GGCUCAGGACGAACGCUGGCGGCGUGCUUAACACAUGCAAGUCGAGCGGAAAGGCUCCUUCGGGGGUACUCGAGCGGCGAACGGGUGAGUAACACGUGAGUAAUCUGCCCUCCACUUUGGGAUAGCCACCGGAAACGGUGAUUAAUACCGGAUAUGACUGAUGCCCGCAUGGGUUUUGGUGGAAAGUUUUUCGGUGGGGGAUGUGCUCGCGGCCUAUCAGCUUGAUGGUGGGGUAAUGGCCUACCAUGGCUUCGACGGGUAGCCGGCCUGAGAGGGUGACCGGCCACACUGGGACUGAGACACGGCCCAGACUCCUACGGGAGGCAGCAGUGGGGAAUAUUGGACAAUGGGCGGAAGCCUGAUCCAGCAACGCCGCGUGAGGGAUGAAUGCCUUCGGGUUGUAAACCUCUUUCACCUACGACGAAGCGAAAGUGACGGU